ACCUACGGGGGGCAGCAGCGAGGAAUAUUGCGCAAUGGGCGAAAGCCUGACGCAGUAACGCCGCGUGAGGGAAGAAGGCCUUCGGGUCGUAAACCUCUUUUCGGAGGGACGAGGAAGGACGGUACCUUCGGAAUAAGUCUCGGCUAACUACGUGCCAGCAGCCGCGGUAAGACGUAGGAGGCGAGCGUUAUCCGGAUUCACUGGGCGUAAAGCGCGUGUAGGCGGUUCGUCAAGUCGCUUGUGAAAGCCCCUGGCUCAACUGGGGGAGGUCAAGCGAAACUGAAGGACUCGAGGGUCAGAGAGGAAGGUGGAAUUCCCGGUGUAGCGGUGGAAUGCGUAGAGAUCGGGAGGAACACCAGUGGCGAAGGCGGCCUUCUGGCUGACCCCUGACGCUGAGACGCGAAAGCGUGGGUAGCAAACGGGAUUAGAUACCCCGGUAGG
rnacentral:rRNA from 1 species